CGCCUCUUGUUUCAUCCAUAAGAGGUCCCGCCUGCCCAGUNGACUUGUUCAACGGCCGCGGUAUCCUAACCGUGCGAAGGUAGCGUAAUCACUUGUCUCCUAAAUAGAGACUAGUAUGAAAGGCAUCACGAGGAUUAAACUGUCUCCUUUCCCUAAUCAGUGAACCUAAUCUCCCCGUGAAGAAGCGGGGAUAACUUUAUAAGACGAGAAGACCCUAUGGAGCUUAAAACAAUAUAACACGUGCCACCACCUAUUUAUACACUAAGGUCCCCACCUCCCCAGCACGCUGAUUACAUGUUUUUGGUUGGGGUGACCGCGGAGAACAAACUAUCCUCCACGAUGAUAAGGGUUAUUCCCUAAAUAACAAGCCACAACUUAACCUAUCAAUAAAUUGACAUCCAUUGACCCAAUAAUUUGAUCAACGAACCAAGUUACCCUAGGGAUAACAGCGCAAUCCACUUUAAGAGCCCUUAUCGACAAGUGGGCUUACGACCUCGAUGUUGGAUCAGGGUAUCCCAGUGGUGCAGCCGCUACUAAAGGUUCGUUUGUUCAACGAUUAAAACCCU
rnacentral:rRNA from 1 species